GGUAUGUGUUACAGCAGCCACAGGAAACUAACACAAAUUUAGUUUCUUCAAGUUUAGCUUGACUUCAAUUGUUAGCAAAAAUGCUAACAAUUUUUGGCCCUAACAAUAUUUUGAAGGCUUGAAUCCUUAAUCUUCAUAAUGAUGUUAAAAAAAUUUUUUUUUUUUUUAGAUGGAGUCUCGCUUUGUUACCCAGGCUGGAAGACAAUGGCACGAUCUGAGCUCACUGCAACCUCUGCCUCCCAGGUUCAAGUGAUUCUCCUCCCUCUGCCUCCCAAGUAGCUGGGAUUAUAGCCAUGCACCUCCACACCUGGCUAAUUUUUGUAUUUUUAAUAAACACAGGGUUUCACCAUGUUGGCCAGGCUGAUCUCCAACUCCUGAUCUCAGGUGAUCCACCCACCUCAGCUUCCCCAAGUGCUAGGAUUACAGGCAUAAGCCACUGCACCCGGCCUACAUUUCUUUGAUUAAAUUUUUUCUUCUUAUAAUGAAGCUUUUGCAUUUUUUUAGAAACCAGGUCUUGCUCCAUUGCUCAGGCUAGGGUGCAGUGGCAUGAUUGUAGCUCACUGUAACUUCAAACUUCUGGCCUCAAGCAAUUCUCCCACUUCUGCCUCCCAAAGAGUUGGGAUUAUAGGAGUAAGCCACUGCACCCAGCCCAUAAUGAUACUUUAAGGUAACGAUUGGUUUUACUUCAUUUCACAGGCAAGAGAACUGAAAAGCAGAGAGUUAAAGUGACUUCUCCAAGCACACUAAGCAAGAAAAUCUCCAAGACUGACUUCAAAUCCAGGCUAUCUGAUCCCAGAUCUAGUACCUUUAAUGACUAUGGUCUCUUGCUUCUCCAAGCGGAAUUACAAGCAGAAUUCACCCCGUCCCACCCCAUAUAUCCUGUGUGAACAAGCAACCUGCUGUGUUUCACAGUGGAGCUGUGGCCAACUUGAUAACGCACCACCUAGGUUUGCUUUCCUUCCUUCUCCAUCUCAUUUCUCCAUUCCCUCAUUGUUGUGGCCUGGGAUUGCACCCCUAAUAAGCAUUGUCAGGUAAGCGUCAUCUCAGGCUCUAUUUUCUAUGGAAUGUGGGCUAAAAUAUCUCCCAAGUAAAUAGCUCCUUCUUGUGUGGCAGGGUAGAUUUUGCUCUGAAGAAAAUAACACUUUUAUUAUUUG
rnacentral:lncRNA from 13 species